UACAGAGGUCUCAAGCGUUGUUCGGAUUCAUUGGGCGUAAAGGGUGUGUAGGUGGCGCCGUAAGUCGGGUGUGAAAUCUCGGGGCUUAACUCCAAAACUGCAUUCGAUACUGCGGUGCUUGAGGACCGGAGAGGAGACUGGAAUUCAUGGUGUAGCAGUGAAAUGCGUAGAGAUCAUGAGGAAGACCAGUGGCGAAGGCGGGUCUCUGGACAGUUCCUGACACUGAGGCACGAAGGCCAGGGGAGCAAACAGG
rnacentral:rRNA from 1 species